AACUUUUAACAACGGAUCUCUUGGCUCUCGCAUCGAUGAAGAACGCAGCGAAAUGCGAUAAGUAAUGUGAAUUGCAGAAUUCAGUGAAUCAUCGAAUCUUUGAACGCACCUUGCGCUCUCU
rnacentral:rRNA from 1 species